GGAGAUGUAUUGCAUUGACGGAGUGAGUACUUUAAAAAACUGCAAGCCGACUUUGAUCCAUUGAGUCGUUAAACAGGGUUGAAAACAAACAUGCUAAGGAAAAACUUAGUGCUUUAGCAACUGAUUUCUCCAAUUAUAUUGGUAAAAUCGCUGCUCCUGCUUACGCUACUAGCUUCCAAGCUUUAGCAUAAGAAAGCCAUUUUUUAGUCCUCUAUUCUGGAGGGAAUUAAGAAGUGUAAAUUAAACCAGAAUGCUGACUUUAAGAUCUCGAUUUCUUGAAGAAUUAAGAGAGGGGUAAUGCCCUCACUAAUCGACAUUUCAACACUUUUCGUUUACUUUAGUUGUUGAAAGCGUAGGAUAAAGUAAAUUAAGCUUGUAGAUGUUUUUUAAUGUCCACUUUCGGACCCAGGUUCACUACUUGGCAUCUCCUCCU
rnacentral:tmRNA from 1 species